AAUGGCACGUAAAUGAAAAACAUGCGUGAAGCGUUUGUUCGUUCGUUAAUUAUGCGCUUCCCAAAGUGCAAUUAGACCUUCGUGAGUUGUAUGAUGUAACGCGCAUUUCUGGACUAGGCCGUGACAUUGCAUAACGUAUUAAUUGCGUAUAUCGUAACACGUGAGUAGCGUGGAGUUAUCGAUGCACUGGAUAAUAUAAUAACACACUGCUGGACAUUGUCGUCUCAUCGUAAUUACAAGUUUCUUAGGGGCAGUUACGGGUCUAUAUCAUGUAUCCAUAUUAAUGUUCUAAUACGCUUUUUAAUUCGAUGCAGCUUGAGUGCAAGAAAAUAAUCGAUCUACUCUUUGCUCGAAGCUCAAUUCGUACUUAUUUAAGGUUGAUAUGUCGAGCUGUUUGACUGAAUUUUCUGUUUGCAGGACGUGUGUGCCUAAGAAUCUAUAUUUAAAUUUUAAUAAUAGAUUUUCUCAUCAAUUUGUAAUCGACUUUUUGUAUUUGAAUUUAAAAUAUCGAUGCAAUUAGAUAACAAAGUCUUGGCAUUAAUUUAAAUUGAAUUAAGCCUUGAUGCUAUAAAAGUUUUAAGUUCAGGUUUAAACAUGAAGAUUCAAUGCCGCUGAAAACGUUUCCUCCGGAGAAAAGUCGAUUGCAAAACGGUCGACGCGAAUACGCUUGCAAGUUCAAGUCCACUACCGCUAUAUCCCGCGCCUUCAUAAAUUUUCUCUUCCACUUUGCCAAGGAGAAGCCUUGCCAACUCUGCUUCUUGAAACGUACGCUUAGAAAAGUACGCUUUACCUUAAAGAUCGAAUCAGCGAAAAAUUUGAAAACUCGUUCAUCUUUAUUUGUACUCGAGAUACCGGAAUCGACGAUUCGCGCAAAAAUUAGAAAUCGACGACAACGUACGCGGAAGAGGAUGAAGACAGAAGAGAUCAGACGAAGGGAGACAACGAGCGGAGCGUUUUGAAACGGUACGUGUUUCGUCACGCUAGCCUGUGCACCGUGUACGUGCGCCGUCGUAAAUGCAAUCGUCCACGAGGGACCGAGACAGCGGCAGAAGGAAGAAGAAGAGGAAGAGAAGUGGACGACCGAGGGAGACGAGGAGGGACCUCGACAUCGUCGUCGUCAACGCGUCGCGAGAGACCUUGGCGGUCCGAAGAGCGUUACCAUUUUCGCGGGGCGUAGUAGCGGAUUGACGCAGGUGUGGACCGAUCGCGCGGUGCCAUAGGCCACGCGGAGUACUCGAUUACGCGGCGUUAGGGUGGGGCACGAAAGGGCGCGGGCGUUUUCACACGGGGUGAAAAAAAAAGGCCGAAGGUGCGGACGGAGUUCGAUCGUAAGAAGCGACCUCGAACUGACGAACGGUGGGAAAAAUCUGUCGCGAUCUCUGAUCGCGACGGUGACGCUUCGUUAAAUAUCUAACGCUAAAUGCCCGUAUCUGAUCCCGAUGCCUUUCAAACCGUGUAGAACUUUUUUAUCAAAUCAUUUUCUGGAACGAUACGUUCGUAAUUUUCAAAACCGCAACUCUCCAAAGUUCUUCGUCUAACAUCACCAAUUGAUUCUACGUGGAUAAUUCAGAAGUGUAUCAUUAUUAACAAAGGAGCGCGCGCGCCGCUCCGACUGAUCGACUGACCGGUGGACGCGGUGGGGAUCUCGCCGCUGCCGUCAGGAAAAUCAACGUCUCUUCUUGGCAGAAACGGAGGUAGCCCGUGGGUGGCGGCGGCACGACAGACAUCGCCGAGGCUCUUCCGCUUUUUUGACAGAUGCGAGUGUCAGUGCCGCGCGACGCGUCGCAGUGCCCGUCGAGUGAAGAGGUCGAGCAAUUGUUUACGACAUUGUUUACGCGGCGUUCGCUCGUUUGCGGGCUGAAACGAUUCCGACGAACUACGAAGUGAGCGAGAUUACA